GGAAGAAGAAAAAAAAAAAGCGGCGACGACCGACUCAUUCCGUCGAAGAGCGAGGUCGAAGUAAAAGGUGGUAAAUAAUCCAGUGCAACAAGUUUAAAGUUAGAACUGCAUGCACUCGCCUGUUUCAGAAGUGAAAACCCGUACGCGUGCGCGAGACUCAGCGGUGAAAGCUUUAACGCUGCAACACCCACUCCACCAUUUCAAUCCCUAACUCCUCUCUCCUUCACUCCACUCACUUCCAUAACGAUUCUACUUCAAGGAGCCCUACAGGUUUUGCAAUAUAAUCAAUCUUAAUCACAAAUGGGCUGCUUGUGUGGUUGCUUUGCUGUUUGAUCUGUCACUGCCUUACAUUUUUCAUGCCAGCUAAAAUUCUUGGAGUUGGCUGUUUAAACAUAUAUAAUUGCAUCAUAUGAUCUUUUAUCACAUACUGCAUCACUGAUGAUAAUGUGACAUUGAUACAAAGAGAAACAGUUAUUUAUGGAUGUGUGAGAGUUUGCCCUUAUACACAAGGGAGGAGGGUUAUUAAAAAACAUGAGUUCCUAAUUUAAGGGACUGGAUACAAAGAGAUGGGUAGGCCAAAUUUUCUUGGGUAAUGUUAUUUAGAGUGAAUAUGAUCCUAUUUAACUC